rnacentral:snRNA from 1 species
AUUCUUAGCCAGCAUGGAAGAUUACAUGAUCAUGAAGGUGGUUAUCACAGGACUCCAGAUGUGUGAAUCCUGCGGUUUCCCCAGAUUCUGAAAACUCAACUGCCUAAUCUGUGGUAGUGAGAGAUUGCAUUCAUGUUCUCCCCUG